ACGUAAGGGGCAAGCGUUGUUCGGAAUUAUUGGGCGUAAAGGGCGAGUAGGCGGAUUGGUAAGUUAGGUGUGAAAGCUUUCAGCUCAACUGAGAAACUGCGCCUAAAACUGCUAAUCUAGAGUUUUGGAGAGGAUAUCGGAAUUCCUGGUGUAGGGGUGCACUCUAUACCUACAAGGAAGAACACCGAUGGCGAAGGCGAAAACCUAGAAUUACACUAACACACAGACGGGCAAGCUCGGGGAGCAAAAAG
rnacentral:rRNA from 1 species